rnacentral:rRNA from 10 species
UCGACCUGAGCUCAGGCAAGAAC